UACGAAGGGGGCUAGCGUUGUUCGGAAUUACUGGGCGUAAAGCGCACGUAGGCGGGUUGUUAAGUCAGGGGUGAAAUCCUGGAGCUCAACUCCAGAACUGCCUUUGAUACUGGCAACCUAGAGACUGGAAGAGGUUAGUGGGAUUCCCAGUGUAGAGGUGAAAUUCGUAGAUAUUGGGAAGAACACCAGUGGCGAAGGCGGCUAACUGGUCCAGCACUGACGCUGAGGUGCGAAAGCGUGGGGAGCAAACAGG
rnacentral:rRNA from 1 species